AUUAUUAUUAGUAGUAGUAGUAGUAUUAAUAUUUCGUUACAAGGCUAUUGUCCCAGCUAGGCCCGUUUAGAAGGUUUUAGCCUCCUCCGUCACUCAGCUCUUCCUAGUUAUAUGAAACAAGUGAAAAUCAGGGCUUCGUGCAUUCCUUGGAGUUGUACAGAAAGAAAAAAGAAGAACCGAGGCACCUGAAUCAAACUUAUUUUUACCAGAUGUGCUUCGGUAUUUUUCUUUUAAAGUCACGUGAAGCAGCGAGCAGAUGUUUUAGCUGCAGCUGGGGGUCCGCCUUCGCGAGAGCACAGCCGCAGAACAGCAGCUCUGACACAAAGCGCUUGGAUUUUUUCCUUAAUCAAGAAAGAGAAGAAGUUUAGACGCUGUUUUUUUAAAUGGAGAGUUUGGAGUUGUUUUGUUGGUGUUGUUAUCGAAGCUAGGAAGAAGACGAGCGCUCUCCUCCCCUUCUCUUCCCCCUCCUGCUCUGCUCUUCUGCUCGGGGAUUUCUCUUUCUGAUAGACGACUGUGCAGGAUUUGCUUUUCCUUUCUCGAGGAGAAGAGAGACAGAGACAAUGAUGUUUUCCAGAAACAGAUGUGGUUCUUGUAAGAGUAGGCCCGCGAUUCAGUUCUGAAAAGCUAAAAUUGUAACAAAUUUUAAUUACUAAUCUGUGAUAAAUAAUGACCUAAACUAACCACGCCUUUAUUUGUCAGAAGUUGGAGCACCUUGACUGAUGUUUUUGCAAAGAUUUAAUUUGAAAAUGAAACACAAUUCAAUAAAUAAAUAACUAAAUAAAUAAAUAAAUAAAACACAAGUAAGAAGAUUUGACUGUGGCAUGGCUGUGUUUUUCUUUCCUGCAUGAAGAAUGCAGGAUAUCAGAUCAGCUGAAAUUCCUCCGUCUUCAGUGGCUAGGCUACAGAAACCCACAUGAGCAGUCCACUUGAACGAUUUGACUUGUGUGUGUGUGUGUGUGUGUGUGUGUGUGUGUGUGUGUGUGUGUGCGUGCGUGUAAAUGUAAAUAUUAAACCAUCCGGUUUGACCCGAGGGGCAACAGUGAUUCACCAAGAGAGAGGGAAUCGAUUCCCCGGCUUCAGAUGACCGUGUCCGUGUUGUCUUAAACUUGAGGCAGUGUUCUGGGGGAAGAGGAAGGUACUAACUUUAACGACAUUAACACUUCAUACUGUUUGGGGUAUUAGGGCCAAAUUCCUGCGCCUCGACCUUUCGAAAUUAUAAAGCAGGCACUGCAGAAGAAGGAGAUAAAACACACACACACACACACACACA
ensembl:lncRNA